UACGAAGGGGGCUAGCGUUGCUCGGAAUCACUGGGCGUAAAGCGCACGUAGGCGGACUCUUAAGUCAGGGGUGAAAUCCUGGAGCUCAACUCCAGAACUGCCUUUGAUACUGGGAGUCUUGAGUUCGGGAGAGGUGAGUGGAACUGCGAGUGUAGAGGUGAAAUUCGUAGAUAUUCGCAAGAACACCAGUGGCGAAGGCGGCUCACUGGCCCGAUACUGACGCUGAGGUGCGAAAGCGUGGGG
rnacentral:rRNA from 1 species